CCAGCUCACUGCAGCCUUGACCUCCUGGGCUGAAGCAAUCUUUCUGCCUCCACCUCCCGAGUGGCUGGGACUAUAGUUGUGCACCAGCACGCCCACCUCCUGCCCAGGGUUGUUACUGGGGUGGUCACGUGGGCAGCUUCUGCCUGGGAUGGGCCACAAAGCCAGACUCCCGGCAGGGACACGGGUGUUCCACACAAGCUGCGUUGUUGGUUCCCUGACGCCCUUCAGGCUGGGGGGUGGGAAAGCCGAUCCCCCAAGUGCCUGCAGAGCCCACCUGGCGCAGGCCUCGCCGCCUCGAGGCUGCUGCUCGCACUUCUGCCCCUUCCCCCGGCCAGGCCCCCGUUCCUUGAGGCCGUACCACAAGGUGCGUUCAUUUUUCCACACCGUGAGCUGGGCUUGGCAGAGCCUCCACCUUGUGGCCAGUAUUCCCAGUGGCCCCUUUGAGAGGAUUUCCUGGAGCUCCCUGUCUGAGCUUCCCGGACUGAGGGCACUGGGAAGGAGCCUGCGGAGCUGGAGGUCAGCGGGUGGACGGGUUGCGCUGUCCUGGCUUUCGGAGUGUAGAGCCAGAGGGGAUGGGACAGGUGCCCUGCUGCUGGGCUUGGUGGUCCCUGCUGCAGGGAAGGGGCAGCUGGUGUGAACACAAGGAGCUGCGGGGCUGGAGAAGGCCAGGGCCAGGAGCCUGCCGACGGACACCAGCGAGGGGCCAGGCCGGGCCAGGAGCCUGCCGACGGACACCAGCGAGGGGCCAGGCCGGGCCAGACUCCCUGGCCGGCUGGGAUCUGACAGGAGUGCCAGGCUCCUUGGGCCGCCCGAGGAACCGCUUGUUUGCCUGUGCUUUUUCAUCUGUAAAUGGAAUGAGUUGGACACAAGAUCCAAGCGCCCUCCCCUGUUGGAGAAGGUUCUUGUGGGCUCUGGGCCCAUCCCACAUCCCACAGUGGGCAGGAGGCCACCAAGAGGUGCAAGACCAUGCCCUCUGUUUCGAUAGGAAGCUGGGCCUCAGAGGGGCCUGGGGCCUGUGUCUGAGACCCGGCCAAGUGCUGGACGUCUCCCCUUCCUCAUGGCUGUUAUGGCUGAAUUACGUCCCCCCAAAUUCUCAUG